GACGAACGCUGGCGGCGUGCCUAAUACAUGCAAGUAGAACGCACAGUUUAUACCGUAGCUUGCUACACCAUAGACUGUGAGUUGCGAACGGGUGAGUAACGCGUAGGUAACCUGCCUGGUAGCGGGGGAUAACUAUUGGAAACGAUAGCUAAUACCGCAUAAUAUUAAUUAUUGCAAGAUAAUUAAUUGAAAGUUGCAAUUGCACCACUACCAGAUGGACCUGCGUUGUAUUAGCUAGUAGGUGAGGUAACGGCUCACCUAGGCGACGAUACAUAUCCGACCUGAGAGGGUGAUCGGCCACACGGGGACGGAGACACGGCCCAGACUCCUACGGGAGGAAGCAGUAGGGAAUCUUCGGCAAUGGACGAAAGUCUGACCGAGCAACGCCGCGUGAGUGAAGAAGGUUUUCGGAUCGUAAAGCUCUGUUGUAAGAGAAGAACGGGUGUGAGAGUGGAAAGUUCACACUGUGACGGUAUCUUACCAGAAAGGGACGGCUAACUACGU
rnacentral:rRNA from 1 species